GCUUUUAAGGACCUGAGUCGUUUUAAAGGGCCAGCUCCUCCUUAGAAUGCUGGAGACUCCUUGAAGAACAAGAGCCGCUUUAAAGGCCCAGCCUCCGGGUUGUCAAAGCCACGUUAAAGGACCCAAGACACCGAGUGUCGCCUUUAUACCCAGCGUUCUGAGCGGGCUGGAGACUUCCAAGAUUGGCUUAGAUGACAGGAAAAGAAAAUGAUAAAUGCUUAAGAGAAUGUGGGGAAAAUGGAACACUAAUGUCCUGUUGAUGGUAUUGUGAACUAACCCACUCUGGAGAACAAUUUGGAACUAUGCCCAAAGGAAAACCAAACUCUGCAUAACCUUUGAUUCAGCAUAUACCACUGCUGGGUCUGUAUCCCAAAAAGAUAAUUAUAAAAGGAAAAGGACAUACGUGUGUAAAAAUAUUUAUAGCAGCCCUUUCUAUGGUAAAAUACUGGAAAUUAAGGGGAUGCCCAUCAAUUGGGGAAUGACUGAAAAAGCUAUGAUACAUCAAUUUAAUGGAAUACUAUUGUGCAAUAAGAAAUGAAAAACAUGAAGAUUUCAGAAAAACCUAGAAAGGCUUAUACAUACUGAUGAAAAGUCAAAUGAUCAGAACAAGGAAAACAUCGUACACAAUAUCAACAACACUGUGUCAAUCAACUGUGAAUGACUGCUCUUCUCAGCAACCCAAUAAAGGAAAAGGCUAUCAAUGACCAGAUAAAGAACUGAUGGACUUGGAAUACAGAUUGAAACAUUUUUUCACUUACUUUAUUCUUUCUCAUGUUUUUUUUUUUUUUUCCUUUUCCUUUUGAUCUGUUUCUUCUUUCACAAUUGAUAUGCAAAUAUAUUUUACGUGAUAGCAGAUGUAUAAACUAUAUCAAAUACCUACCCUCUCUGGUAGAGAGGAGAGAAAAAGAAAGAAAAUUUUGGAAUUCAAAAAUGAAUUAAAUGUAAAAAUGUAUGAAUGUAAAAAGAAUGCUUAAAAUUGUCUUGUCCUGUUAACUGGAGAAAAAAGUAAAAUAAUUUUUUUAAGUCAUCAAAAAAUUGAUGUCAUGGGGACAGCUAGGUGACACAGUGGAUAGAGUACUAAUCCUGAAGUCAGGAGGACCUGAAUUCAAAUCUAGUCUCAGACGCUUAAUACUUCCUAGAUGUGUGACCCUGGAUAAGUCACUUAACCCCAGUUGCCUCAGCAAAAAAAAAGAAAGAAAAAAUUGAUGUCAUGUUUCACAUGUUAUCAGUCUGGCUAUUGAAAGGGACUGUAGUAUGCACAAAACAAUUAACUCUAUCUUAUCAAAGGUAAAAAGGAUUGCCCCUUUAGAGUAUGAACUGGUUGGCAAAGAGAGGGGUGUGGAGAAAAGGAUUUUUGUGCACAGAAAAACAUAAAAAUCCAUGUGUUUGAAAGAUAUACUUUUCCCCUUAAUGUGUGUGUGGGAGAAAAUAUUUAAUAGUAUUAUAUAAGGAGCUGCCCCUCAGAUGAAUGGAUCUAAAUAAGAUGGUUUGAGAAAGACUGAGGCUUAGGGACAUUGUGGUCCAUUAGCUCACAAACAUGUAACAUUUUAGAACUUGAAAGGUUAAAAUUCACAGUAUUAAUUCACACUCCAGAUUAUUGUUUGUUGUUUGGUUGUUUUCAGUUUUGUCAAAUCCCUUUUGUGUUUCCUUUUAGUGUUUUCUUGACAGAGAUACUAGAGUGGUUUCCCAUUUCCUUCUCCAGUUCAUUCAAUAAAUGAGGAACUGAGGCAAACAUGGUUAAAUGACUUACCCAGAGUCACACAGCUAGUGAAUUUCUGACACCAGAUUUGAAGUCACAAAGAUGAGUCAUCCUAAUUCUAGGCCCAACACUCUAUCCAUUCUGCUACUCACCUGCCUAUUCAGAGUAGAAAAAAAUUAAAUAAAGUUUCAAAACUGACCAAAAUUUAACACCUUCAAAGGAAAAGAUAAGUCAGCAAUUUAUAUUAACUGAUGCAAAAUAAAAUCAACAAAAUAAAAAAAAGUUCAUAUCAACAAUAAUGUAAAUGGAAAAAGCAAUAAAAGGAAAUUAAAUGCUA